GGUCCUAGGAAUGAAGGAAAACAGGCAAUAAGGCAAGAAUCGCUGUCGAAGGAGUCUGCGCCACCUGCUCGCACAGCUCACUUGUGCCUUCUGAGCCUGCUGGAGCCCAGUGUACAUAUGCCGUCUCCGCGUGAUUAGAGAUUGCUGCUGCACGUGCCCAAUCCCGUGGCGGGGGCUGGAACACAAACGGGGUGGUGUUCCAGCUGCAACCAUGCAGAUGAAGACUAUACCCUAGGAGAUGGAGGAACAACAGACAAGAAAGAAACCUGGGUUCCUGAAUAACCACGUGGAGCCAAGCAGCUUACUUAUCUCAAGCCACUGUUGCCCACCUCCAGAUUGAACUGUCUGCAAACAAAUCUUUACUUGAUGAGAAGUUUAAAUAUAAUUAAAUCUAGAAUAUUACAUGA
rnacentral:lncRNA from 10 species